AUUGAACGCUGGCGGCAGGCCUAACACAUGCAAGUCGAGCGGUAGAGAGAAGCUUGCUUCUCUUGAGAGCGGCGGACGGGUGAGUAAUGCCUAGGAAUCUGCCUGGUAGUGGGGGAUAACGUUCGGAAACGGACGCUAAUACCGCAUACGUCCUACGGGAGAAAGCAGGGGACCUUCGGGCUUUGCGCUAUCAGAUGAGCCUAGGUCGGAUUAGCUAGUUGGUGAGGUAAUGGCUCACCAAGGCGACGAUCCGUAACUGGUCUGAGAGGAUGAUCAGUCACACUGGAACUGAGACACGGUCCAGACUCCUACGGGAGGCAGCAGUGGGGAAUAUUGGACAAUGGGCGAAAGCCUGAUCCAGCCAUGCCGCGUGUGUGAAGAAGGUCUUCGGAUUGUAAAGCACUUUAAGUUGGGAGGAAGGGCAGUUACCUAAUACGUGAUUGUUUUGACGUUACCGACAGAAUAAGCACCGGNUAAACUCUGUGCC
rnacentral:rRNA from 1 species